UUCGCAGGUUCCUGGCCUCUGGUUUGUUGAGGGACAAACAGCAACAUAAGUCCUGACUAGCUGCAUCAGAUAUCUGUGGAGUUGCUGUUGGAAUUCCUGCCAAGCAUUUGCUGAACAGAAUUGUUGGAAUCGAGCUGAAAGCAGAGGAUUUGCCGUAUUGCCUGUAUUUAAGGAAUCAGCUUGAUGAUGGGUGAUCAGUGCACAGGUAUUGAACAAUUGAAAAUACUCUGUACAGAACCAAGAAUGGCACAAGGUAAAUCUGCCUGCACUAUGUAUAUUGUUAUAGUGAUCAGUAUUGAUUUUUUAUUGGAGCUGAAGGGUUAAGAUCAGUGAUAUAGCAGGAUGCAAUUGCUGGCCUGAUGAUUGCCCUGUUUUUCUCAGCACUGUAAUUGCCCUGUUUGUUCGACCCUGUGAGAUCUAUGCUCUUCCUUUCUUUGUGAGAAUUGUUUGUUGUGGUGGGUUGAGGAAGGAGAUGUUCAACUUGUUUUCCUUCCUGUGUGUGAGGGGAAGUCUUUCCCUUUCCCUGUUCCUCAGUGUAAGACAACAGAAGUGGGUCCUGAGCAACAAGUGACAUCAGCACUGCAAUGUCUCACCACAGCUGAUGGUCUCCAGAGAGGACUAGCAUCCUCCUCAUCAUUGUGUUGUUGCUCCUGAGUGGCCAAGGUUCAGCUGUCGUGAUGCUGCCUCAGCAAGUGCAUGGGAAUGGAAGGCUGUCAGCAAGCGACACUCUUUUGCACAACAAAAACUUUGCAUUUACAUCCAGCUUUUCAUGACCACAGGAUAUCUCAAAGCACUUUCCAGCCAAUAGAAUAGUUCUACUAAUUGCAAUGUAGGAAAUGCAACAGUCA